rnacentral:misc_RNA from 1 species
GAUAUCAUUGAUGAAGUUGUUCAAGUAAGGCCGAAGAUUUCUUGAUUACUCUUAAUUAUUCGAGAAUUGCAUCAUUUUAUAUUGUGAAUUAUGCACUUUUAAUUCUGUGAGAAGGCGUUCUUAAGUAUAGUUUUGAUUUCAGAUUAGAAAAAUUGUAUUGCUAAUAAUUUUGCCAUACCUACUUGAAAUCUGAUAUUUGUGCCAUUUUAGCAGAUA